rnacentral:rRNA from 1 species
CAGGCCUAACACAUGCAAGUCGAGCGGAUGACGGGAGCUUGCUCCUGGAUUCAGCGGCGGACGGGUGAGUAAUGCCUAGGAAUCUGCCUGGUAGUGGGGGACAACGUUUCGAAAGGAACGCUAAUACCGCAUACGUCCUACGGGAGAAAGCAGGGGACCUUCGGGCCUUGCGCUAUCAGAUGAGCCUAGGUCGGAUUAGCUUGUUGGUGAGGUAAUGGCUCACCAAGGCGACGAUCCGUAACUGGUCUGAGAGGAUGAUCAGUCACACUGGAACUGAGACACGGUCCAGACUCCUACGGGAGGCAGCAGUGGGGAAUAUUGGACAAUGGGCGAAAGCCUGAUCCAGCCAUGCCGCGUGUGUGAAGAAGGUCUUCGGAUUGUAAAGCACUUUAAGUUGGGAGGAAGGGUUGUAGAUUAAUACUCUGCAAUUUUGACGUUACCGACAGAAUAAGCACCGGCUAACUCUGUGCCAGCAGCCGCGGUAAU